AAGAUGAUCUGCCCAUCUGUGACUUUGUGAAGUAAUGCCCUAGCUAAUUCUUUGUGCUGUGCUUUUUUGUGUUGAUUUUUCAUUAACAUUCAGGUUGAUUUUGCUAAGGAAACACGGUGUUCAUGGUUGAGUCAACAUGAACAGUUAGGAGAGAAGCAAAUGGCUUGUUAGGACCCAAGAACACACAGAGCUGAUGUUUCCAACGUGUUUUCUUUCCUUUUGUAUCCAGCUGCCUGAGCCUGGGGCAGGCAGCAGAGGCCAGCCGUGACCAAUCUCUUCAAAGUGCACCUUCAAAGGACAGAGCGAGCCUAUUUCAUCAGCAAGCCAGAAACAACGGUGCUACAACCAGCUUCUAAAAUAGAGGGAACCUCGGAGGAGGUUUAAGAUGUGUUGCUAGAGGGCAGUGUUUCUGAAGUUCAUUGGGAAGGAGCCAUAUUUGGAAUGACAUCUGCUGUUUUAUUGAAAAGUCAGAGUAAUAAAUUAUAACUACUAUUUAUCGAGGGCAUAUUAGGUACCAAGCUGUGUGUCUGCUGACAAAAGGUAGUUUGCUGAUAUUUUGUUCAAUCAUGGUGAACACUCACAGAGCACUGCAUUUGUGAUUCCAGCAAGCUCCAGCUGCUUCUGUUCCUGGCUUUGUAUGCCAGUGUGGAUGUGGCUCCCUCUGCCCAGACUGCCUGCAGCCAAAUUCUUUCUCAUGAGAAUUACUGAUUCUUCAAAGUCCUGUUCUGCUGUCAUCUCCUCUGGGUAGCCUCCUCUGAGCUCUCUAAGUAGGUGCUCACCACCUGCUUCCAAGGACCUCUUUUCUGUCUCUUGGGUACACACUUAUUCUUGCAUUUAUCAUAAUGGGUUGUCACUUGUUCCUGACUAGCUCUCAUAUCUCCACAACUGUAAAAUAAAAUUUAUAAGGGCUGUGUUAAGUUUUAUUCAUCUCUGUGUCUCUGCUGCACAAUCUGAAAAUAUAGGUGCUUAAUGAAUGUGUACAAAACCGACUUGCAAACUGUUCUAUAUGACACAGCUAAAGCCAUGAGCUACUUCAAUAGCUUUCCA
rnacentral:lncRNA from 10 species